rnacentral:tRNA from 1 species
GGUACUUUGGUGUAGAGGCCUAACAUGCCACACUGUCACUGUGGAGACCACGAGUUCGAAUCUCGUAAGUACCG